GGGUUGUGAGGUUAAGUGACUAAGCGUACACGGUGGAUGCCUAGGCAGUCAGAGGCGAUGAAGGGCGUGCUAAUCUGCGAAAAGCGUCGGUAAGGUGAUAUGAACCGUUACAACCGGCGAUACCCGAAUGGGGAAACCCAGUGUGUUUCGACACACUAUCAUGUCAUGAAUACAUAGUGGCAUGAGGCGAACCGGGGGAACUGAAACAUCUAAGUACCCCGAGGAAAAGAAAUCAACCGAGAUUCCCCCAGUAGCGGCGAGCGAACGGGGAGGAGCCCAGAACCUGAAUCGGCUUGUGUGUUAGUGGAAGCGUCUGGAAAGUCGCGCAGCAAAGGGUGAUAGCCCCGUACACUAAAAUGCACAGGUCGUGAGUUCGAUGAGUAGGGCGGGACACGUGACAUCCUGUCUGAAUAUGGGGGGACCAUCCUCCAAGGCUAAAUACUCCUGACUGACCGAUAGUGAACCAGUACCGUGAGGGAAAGGCGAAAAGAACCCCGGCGAGGGGAGUGAAAUAGAACCUGAAACCGUGUACGUACAAGCAGUGGGAGCACCUUCGUGGUGUGACUGCGUACCUUUUGUAUAAUGGGUCAGCGACUUAUAUUUUGUAGCAAGGUUAACCGUAUAGGGGAGCCGUAGGGAAACCGAGUCUUAACUGGGCGAAUAGUUGCAAGGUAUAGACCCGAAACCCGGUGAUCUAGCCAUGGGCAGGUUGAAGGUUGGGUAACACUAACUGGAGGACCGAACCGACUAAUGUUGAAAAAUUAGCGGAUGACUUGUGGCUGGGGGUGAAAGGCCAAUCAAACCGGGAGAUAGCUGGUUCUCCCCGAAAGCUAUUUAGGUAGCGCCUCGUGAACUCAUCUUCGGGGGUAGAGCACUGUUUCGGCUAGGGGGCCAUCCCGGCUUACCAAACCGAUGCAAACUCCGAAUACCGAAGAAUGUUAUCACGGGAGACACACGGCGGGUGCUAACGUCCGUCGUGAAGAGGGAAACAACCCAGACCGCCAGCUAAGGUCCCAAAGUCAUGGUUAAGUGGGAAACGAUGUGGGAAGGCAUAGACAGCCAGGAUGUUGGCUUAGAAGCAGCCAUCAUUUAAAGAAAGCGUAAUAGCUCACUGGUCGAGUCGGCCUGCGCGGAAGAUGUAACGGGGCUAAACCAUGCACCGAAGCUGCGGCAGCGACGCUUAGGCGUUGUUGGGUAGGGGAGCGUUCUGUAAGCCGUUGAAGGUGGCCUGUGAGGGUUGCUGGAGGUAUCAGAAGUGCGAAUGCUGACAUAAGUAACGAUAAAGCGGGUGAAAAGCCCGCUCGCCGGAAGACCAAGGGUUCCUGUCCAACGUUAAUCGGGGCAGGGUGAGUCGACCCCUAAGGCGAGGCUGAAAAGCGUAGUCGAUGGGAAACAGGUUAAUAUUCCUGUACUUGGUGUUACUGCGAAGGGGGGACGGAGAAGGCUAGGCUAGCCGGGCGACGGUUGUCCCGGUUUAAGCGUGUAGGGGGUGUGACCUGGUAAAUCCGGUUGCAUAUCAACCCUGAGGCGUGAUGACGAUGCACUACGGUGCAGAAGUAGUUGAUGCCCUGCUUCCAGGAAAAGCCUCUAAGCUCUAGGUAACAUUGAAUCGUACCCCAAACCGACACAGGUGGUCAGGUAGAGAAUACCAAGGCGCUUGAGAGAACUCGGGUGAAGGAACUAGGCAAAAUGGUGCCGUAACUUCGGGAGAAGGCACGCUGGCAUGUAGGUGAAGUCCCUUGCGGAUGGAGCUGAAGCCAGUCGAAGAUACCAGCUGGCUGCAACUGUUUAAUAAAAACACAGCACUGUGCAAACACGAAAGUGGACGUAUACGGUGUGACGCCUGCCCGGUGCUGGAAGGUUAAUUGAUGGGGUCAGCCGCAAGGCGAAGCUCUUGAUCGAAGCCCCAGUAAACGGCGGCCGUAACUAUAACGGUCCUAAGGUAGCGAAAUUCCUUGUCGGGUAAGUUCCGACCUGCACGAAUGGCGUAAUGAUGGCCAGGCUGUCUCCACCCGAGACUCAGUGAAAUUGAACUCGCUGUGAAGAUGCAGUGUACCCGCGGCAAGACGGAAAGACCCCGUGAACCUUUACUAUAGCUUGACACUGAACAUUGAGCCUUGAUGUGUAGGAUAGGUGGGAGGCUUUGAAGCGUGGACGCCAGUCUGCGUGGAGCCAUCCUUGAAAUACCACCCUUUAAUGUUUGAUGUUCUAACUCGGCCCCAUAAUCUGGGGUGAGGACAGUGUCUGGUGGGUAGUUUGACUGGGGCGGUCUCCUCCCAAAGAGUAACGGAGGAGCACGAAGGUUAGCUAAUCACGGUCGGACAUCGUGAGGUUAGUGCAAAGGCAUAAGCUAGCUUGACUGCGAGAGUGACGGCUCGAGCAGGUACGAAAGUAGGUCUUAGUGAUCCGGUGGUUCUGAAUGGAAGGGCCAUCGCUCAACGGAUAAAAGGUACUCCGGGGAUAACAGGCUGAUACCGCCCAAGAGUUCAUAUCGACGGCGGUGUUUGGCACCUCGAUGUCGGCUCAUCACAUCCUGGGGCUGAAGUAGGUCCCAAGGGUAUGGCUGUUCGCCAUUUAAAGUGGUACGCGAGCUGGGUUUAGAACGUCGUGAGACAGUUCGGUCCCUAUCUGCCGUGGGCGUUGGAAGAUUGAGAGGGGUUGCUCCUAGUACGAGAGGACCGGAGUGAACGCACCACUGGUGUUCGGGUUGUCAUGCCAAUGGCAUUGCCCGGUAGCUAAGUGCGGAAAAGAUAAGCGCUGAAAGCAUCUAAGCGCGAAACUUGCCUCAAGAUGAGUCUUCCCUGGGCCUUUAAGGCCCCUGAAGGAACGUUUAAGACUAAGACGUUGAUAGGCUGGGUGUGUAAGUGCAGCGAUGCAUUGAGCUAACCAGUACUAAUGAUCCGUGAGGCUUAACCUUACAACACCGAAGGUGUUU
rnacentral:rRNA from 1 species